GAGGUCCCUGCGGGGCGGGAGGGUCAGUCCGGUCGGACCUUCGUCCUUGACCCUAUGCUGAGGAGCCCCACAUCCCUCCUCCCAGUACUUACUGAGCGCCUUCUGUGUGCACUGUCCCAUGCCGGCCUCUGGGGAUGCCCAGGAACCAGAACAGGCCAGGCCACACUGGCCUCCGGGCUUUGGCUCCAACACCCCAGACAUGCUCCCACCACAGGGCCUUUGCACUGGCCAUGUCCUCUGCCUGGAGCACUCUCUCCAGACAUCUGCGGAUUAAGACCCUGUAUGCUGCAGACACCUAACCUUAAAUCUCAACGCCUCUCUUUCUCUCUGCUGAUGCGCGGCUCUCAGCAUCCAACACACUGCAUAGUUUAUUUCUCCUGUUUGUCAUUUUCUCCCACAAUAGAAAAUAGCUUUCUCCCACAAUAGAAAGUAGCUUCACUAGGGCUACUUUCUGUCCCUAUUUACGAGUGUCCCCAUUGCCCGAAACAGUGCCGAGCACAGAGUAGAUGCUCAGGAAAUGUGUGUGGGAUGAAUGAAUAAACACUGACAGAUUCCAUAAAGAGAUACUAAACUGAGUAAAGGACUUAUGGUCAGAGAGGACCUCUUUAAGGAGGUGACCCUGGAGCUGAAAUCUGCAGGAAGAUAAAGGGGAGAACUGGGGAAAGUUUUCCCAUGCAGAGUGCGCACAGCUGGUGCAAAAGCCUGAAGGUCAGAGGGAGAUUGGAGUGCAGCAUUGAUCAUAAAGGCCCUGCAGGGCCAUGGUAAGGAGUUUUUGAUUUUCUUUUCUGUAUGAGAGAGAGCCAGUGAAAAGCCAUCCACAGGAGACCCCCAGACCAAAUCUCCCAUCUAGGCCAAAGCCCCACACGGUCAUCAUGGAGUCAAGUAGGCUACCAGACUGGUCCCAUCACCCAUGAUUCUUAACUUCCACCCACGGGGUUCUUGGGUGGCCCUUUUCCAGGCCUCCUUACAGAGACACAUAGUAUUGAUACUUGCAAAAUCCCACAGGAGUAGGUUGCCAGACUUAGCAAUGAAAUACAGGACACCGUGUGUGAAUGAAUUUGAACUUCAUGUAAACAGCAAAUAACUUUUUAUAAGUAUGUCCCUGCAUCACGUGGGACACAGUUACAUACUCAAAAAUUCUUCAUUGUUUACAUGAAAUUUAUAUUCAACUGGGUGUCCUGUAUUUUAUCUGGCAACCCUGUGUGUGGGAGGGGUAGGGGGUGGGGACUCGCUCACUCUGUCUGGAUACUUGCCUGGGUGAAGGCUUUGUGGAGAGGACCCUGCCUCAAACAAGGUCAAUGUUUGGCUAUGAUCCCCUUACAGCUGGCAUUUCUUCCCCCAGGGGAGGGAAAUGUUCACCAUUUGGGAAAAAGAAUCUCCUCAGCUGCAGAAGGCUGUGGGAGUGAGCAAGUGUGCCAACUCUGAUAAUGUUGGGUGGGGAUGAAGGUCUCCAUGACCAGAAACUUCUAAGUUUUGUAACAAAAUUGAUGACAUCAGUAGAAUGGCACAAAGUCUGCAACUCACUUUGAAAUGGUUCAGCACAAACUCCACGUGCAUGGAGAUAAAGCAAAUGGCAAAAAUGCCCAAGGGUUUCAUUGUGUGCUCCUUCCAACUUUUUGGUAUCUUUGAAAUUUUUCUUUUAUUUUUCCUUUGGCCAUGCCACACGGCUUGCAGGAAACUUUUCAUAGUAAAAAAUUGGGGGUUAAAAAGAAUGAGGGACUUCCCUGGUGGCGCAGUGGUUAAGAAUCCGCCUACCAAUGCAGGGGACACGGGUUCAAGCCCUGGUCCGAGAAGAUCCCAUAUGCCGCGGAGCAACUAAGCCCGUGUGCCACGACUACUGAGCCUGUGCUCUAGAGCCUGUGUGCCACAACUACUGAAGCCCACGUGUCUAGAGCCCGUGCUCCGCAACAAGAGAAGCCACCGCAAUGAGAAGCCCGGGCACUAAAAUGAAGAGUAGCCCCCUGCUCGCCGCAGCUAGAGAAAACCCGUGCACAGCCACAAAAACCCAACACAGCCAAAAAUAAGGAAAUAAAAUAGAAAUAAAUUUAUAAAAUAAAUAAAUAAAAAGAAUGAAAGUCUCACUGUUGAAAAGGGGAAAGUCUGCAAAUAGCCACAAACGAUCACACUGUUUAUUGGGCAGCUCCUUGGACGGCUGGAACUCAACCAUCUCUCUCUCUCAGCUCCAGUGCCCUCCAUGGCUCCCAGCUACUCUGAGGAUCACAUCCACGCUCAUUAGGUGGGAUUUGGGGCGCUGCUCCACAUGCUGCCUUCUUACUCCUGGUCAUCCUCGAAGGGCAAGAAGAGCCACUUCUUGGGCAUGUCCCUGAGGAACAGGUCCUGCUGCUCCUCUGUCGAGUCCUGGGACACGUACACCAGAGCCAGCUGGGCUGCCCGCAACACGUAGAACUCAUCCGUGAGCCGCACAAAGAAGUCCUUGAGGAUGGGUGCAAAGGCCUGGCACUUCGGGCACGAGCCGGCACCAAAGAACAGCAGCACCAGUCGGUUUUCCAGCCGGCGGCUAAGCUCAGCCUCCGUGUCCAACUCAUCCUGGUCACUGUUGUUUCGGAUCAGGACACGGCCAGAGAACAGGCAGGCCAUGACAACCCUGGCUGGGUGCUGGGGACAGGGCGCAAGGACCUUGUGUGACCCCGAGCCUGCUGACUGGCUGCUGUCCCAGGAUUAGGAAUUUUUAGGAGGCCAGUUUAGAACCUCACUAAUCUGCCUAACCUCGACCUGAUUCUUUGCUGCCUCUGAGGGCAGGGGGUCAGCUGCUCAUGGGCCUGUCUCAGCAGACAGCUGCUAAGGCAUUAAAAAAACACGCUGACAUACUGGUGUGAAAAUAUUUUGUUAAAUUGUGAUGUAAAAAGAUACGUGCCUCUUCAUGAAUGCAUUCGGUAAUCCUAAACCACAGGGCUCGACUAAUUAAUAACAGUGAUUUCUAAGUCGAGAUGAGCAUAAAUGAUAUUUCAAGGUGUCUGCCUGCCAUGACCAGGAUGUCCUGUGAAAUUAUCUUUGAUUUACACGGGUGACAAAAUCACAGAGCUGGCCAAUAUCUGCUUUGAUAGGACAUGAGAAAACAGGCUAAAUUCCAGUUAGAAAUUAAUAAGAAUAAACUUUUUUU